rnacentral:tRNA from 1 species
GUCCAGGGAUGGGAAUCGAACCCAGGCAGAUGCUAUGUCCACUAGGCUACCCUGGA